ensembl:ncRNA F18E9.11 ncRNA
AUAACCUUGAAUUCCAAGUUUUUGGACGUCUGUGACAGGAGGUCACUGACACGCUUCUUGAAUAACUUUGGCACUUU